rnacentral:tRNA from 1 species
GGCGAUGUGGUACUUCGAACACAUACAUUGCGCUUUCACCGCAGAGCCCCAGGUUCGAUUCCUGGCGUCGGCA